ensembl:lncRNA
AGUUUUAGUUUCAUUUUUAAAGUAUCAUUUCAGUUAUUUAAAUCAUUGAAUAUUUCUAUACUCAAUUUUAUAUUUGAACAUUAUUUUCAACAUGAAUUUAUGAAGUUAAUUGCACUCAUGCAGCCUCUGAGCCUCAUUAAAUGUCUGUAAAUACCUACAAGCCACGUUUGUGUUCUUCUGUGCCACCUCUGUAGUGCAAAGGAAUUUUGUUAAUACUGAUUUUAUUGCAUUGGUAUCUUAUUAUUCUUGUUCUAUUGUUUUAAUUAGAAAUUUUGAAAACAGCUUAUAAAAAUACACUUUUGAAUUUGACAAAAGAUAACAAGUUAGAAUAAAUGCCCCUGUAAAUCACUUUAAGGAGUCCAAUAUUACUUUGUAAAUGGGAAGGCUACUUUUUGUUAUUGUUCAGAAGGUGCUCCUGCAUUUUUUUCUGUGAUCCUAAUUUUUAUUUAUUUUUUAAUUAGCAGCACAAGUGCUCCUAAAAAUAAAAGUAAGCACAGAGCCCUGUUUAGUGAGUGUGGUGGUGCAGAGGUGCUGCUCUGGGACGGGUGACGGGUGAGAAAUCACAGUAUACUCACUACAAAACACUACACCACUGGCUGUAUAUGACUUUCUUCUUUUAGACGAAUCCAGUCAGAGUUAUAAGAAAUGUCCUGCUUCUUCCAAGCUUUAUAAUGGCAGUGAAUGGGUGUUCUAUUCAAUCGGAUGUUAUAUCUCAGGCAUGUUUGUUUGUAGCAUGUGGAUACUCAGUACUGAUUGGGUGAAUUCAUGUUUUGAACAGUUUAUUGUAUAGGUAGUUAAUCUCCGCUCUAAACUAAUGUACAGUAGGGGGAGACUGGGGCAAUCCUUUUUACAUUUACCUUCAUAACUCAGACUACUUGAAAUACACUUGUCAUCUUUUGACACAAGAAGUAAAUAUAGUUGCACUAUUUAAUAAUACAACUGAUAUGUUUUCACUAAUAAGUACAAGACUAUAAUAUUAAAUUAAAUGUUAGAAAUCAGAGUGUUACAACUGGCCCCUUGGUGGACAAAAUAAAUUUUGUGUGUGUGUGUGUGUGUGUGGUUCAACUUCUUUUUAGAUGUCAGGCAUCAUAUGCAUUCAGAAAGCAAAUAUCUACUUCUAUUUUUGCAGAAGUCAAGGCAAC